rnacentral:rRNA from 1 species
UACGUAGGGUGCAAGCGUUGUCCGGAAUUAUUGGGCGUAAAGAGCUCGUAGGCGGUCUGUUGCGUCGGCUGUGAAAACCCGGGGCUCAACCCCGGGCCUGCAGCCGAUACUGUCGGACUAGAGUCCGGAAGAGGCAAGUGGAAUUCCCGGUGUAGCGGUGAAAUGCGCAGAUAUCAGGAAGAACACCGGUGGCGAAGGCGGAUCUCUGGGCCAUUACUGACGCUGAGGAGCGAAAGCGUGGGGAGCGAACAGG